rnacentral:misc_RNA from 1 species
AAGUCGUAACAAGGUUUCCGUAGGUGAACCUGCGGAAGGAUCAUUAUCGUAGGGCUUUUGUCCUGUCGAAAUAGCGUCCUUGCCUAUUUUUUGGAGCACCGUUCGUUUCCUCAGCAGGCUGCCUGCUACUGGGGACCCCUCAAACUCUUUGUAAAUACAGUAAUCGUCUGAAAAACAAACAAAAAUCAAA